GACGAACGCUGGCGGCGUGCUUAACACAUGCAAGUCGAACGGAAAGGCCCUGCUUUUGUGGGGUGCUCGAGUGGCGAACGGGUGAGUAACACGUGAGUAACCUGCCCUUGACUUUGGGAUAACUUCAGGAAACUGGGGCUAAUACCGGAUAGGAGCUCCUGCUGCAUGGUGGGGGUUGGAAAGUUUCGGCGUUUGGGGCUGUACUCGCGGCUUAUCAGCUUGUUGGUGGGGUAGUGGCUUACCAAGGCUUUGACGGGUAGCCGGCGUGAGAGGGUGACCGGCCACAUUGGGACGGGGAGAAGGACCAGAGUCUUACGGGAGGCAGGAGUGGGGAAGAUGGCCAAGGGGCGGAAGCCUGAUGCAGCAACGCCGCGUGCGGGAUGACGGCCUUCGGGUUGUAAACCGCUUUCGCCUGCGACGAAGCGUGAGUGACGGGAAUGGGUAAAGAAGCACCGGCUAACUACG
rnacentral:rRNA from 1 species